CACAUAUAUGUAAGAAGGGGGAAAAGGGAAAAAUAAAAACAAGAAAAGAAAAAGGAAAGAAAAAAAAAAUAUCAAAACAAAAAGAACGACAUUCAUAAACGGUGCUUCACCACCGUUCAACAUCUUCACCACCUUCACCAUCUUCACCAUCUUCUUCUCUCAAAAUCUUUAACAUUCUCCCUUCAUCACACAACCACCACCGUGUCGACGACACAACCACAACCGCCAUUAGAGGUGACACCAUAGAAGUAGGCGGCGCAAGGAAGAAAAGGGGGGUCGUCGUUGCUGUAAUUUGGAGCAUUUGGUGCUCGAAUUAGGGGCGUUUGCAAGUUAUUUCUCAUCCCCAAUCUUCUAUAUUAGUGGGUACAUGAAGGCUUAGAGUCGGGUAUGGGCGGAGAGCAACGUCCACUAGUUUUGCGUAAAUAUAAUUAUAAUAGUUCUGUUCUGGUGCAUUUCUUAUAUAUAAUCAAUAUUUUGAGACUUAGGGUUGUAAAUAUUAAUCCACCUAAUUCUUUAUCCGGUUAGGUUGUAAUAGUUUAAAAUAAACUUUAAAUUAGUUUUGGUGCAGGUAGUUCUUCCUUAGCGAUUAUUCUCGUAAUAAUCGUGGAAUAACACGUUUGGAUUUCGAGUAGUUAUACAGGAAUUUCGUUGGUAUUUGAAAUGGGUGGAGUUGUUGGGAAUUUGGAUUUUGGAUUGCUGAUUUGUUGAAACAGGUUUAAAAUUCGGACGCCAGUCCUAAAUUAAAUUUUAGGCAGUCUAUUUUUCAAACGGAACUCUGCCGAAUUUUCUAUAGAAUUUUAAUAUUAUUUAA